ACCAGAUCAGAGGCAAGAAAUGAAGUAGCUAAUAUUAUUGCAUUGUUCUAGUAAUCUUGUUAUAUGAUUGAACCUACGAUCAACUAUAUCAAUGUGAAUGAUUCCAGAAAACUGUAAGCUGUUCAUAGAAUUUCCAAUAAGAACACAUUUUGUGCUUUUCUGACGACUAAUUAGUUCUUUCAGUGUCAAAUGUAUUCGCAGUCUCCUAUCAAUUACCAACACAACCCAUCUAAUACAUCCGGAUUUUGGCAGCCAGGAUAUUAAAAUCAAAUAGACAAAAAAACUAAUUCAGACAGUCGGUUAAAGUGAGUCUUUCAUACUCAAAGCACUGUAGCGGGCAGAAAAAGAAGCAGCAUAAUAACUUCAGUUUCUCUACUUUGGACUAGAACCCAGGUAACCAAGCUGCUCUACCAACACAUCUAUCUCUUCAGCUUCAUCACCCCUACCCAUUUCUUCCCCAAUAUCCUCAUUCAAUAACUCAUCCCAGAACCCCUCAUCAAGGUCCUUACCUUUAUCUACAUGUUCCUCUCCUCUCUCCAUGCAUUCUUCCUCCAAGUUUUGUUGGCUUCCAGUCACUCCUUGCAUGGUCAUAGCCAGUGCGUCCAGCUCUGAAACGUCAAACUCAGAAAGGUCACCAAACUCCUGAGGUUCAAUCUUAACAAAAGUUUCCACUCCCCCACCAUGGUCAAAAUUUUCAACUUGAACAUUACUAGGCCCUUGGUCAAUAGGCCGCCUUCUCUUUUUACUAAUUGCUUCUUCCAGUUCCUUUCUUCUGUCCUUUAGUUGGACUAGCUGCUGCACAAAAUUGGGAUUCUGAAUCGCUCUAGCCAAGAAACCCAUCACCUGUUGCUGUUUUGUCUCUGUCCUUUUGAGUCUGUGUUCCAUUAGUUGAAGGCAAGCUUUAGUAUUCUGUUGGUGCUGCCUAAGCUUCACCAGUUCCAUCAUUAACACUUGUUUGUCUCGCCUUAACAGAUCAACUUCUGCAUCCAAUCCAAACCUUCCAACUUCAACACAAGGGUCUAGAGAUUGCUGGCAAGCCUGAGGCUGCGGAGUUCUUCUCCUUCUUAUAUUCUUGAGAAGAUGUUUUUGCUCUCUGAGAAACCCUUCAUUAGCAAACUCCCAUCUAUCUGGGUCAAGCUUUCUAAACCCAUAUGUGUUAAGCUGCCUAACAAAGCUCGAGAAAUUAUUGUGCUUGAAGUAUCUGGGCAAAAGACUCAUGGCAAAGGUCUGGGGAUCCCAAACAACAAAGCUAUUGUUGCCUCGACUCCAAGAAACUAUAUGGUUUGUGGCCAUGUCCUCCACGAUGUCAUAAGUUUUUGUGAGAAAAGGGGGAGGACCAGCGUCAUGAAGUCCCUCUAUUGGCUGAGGAAUAGCUGUAGAUGCCAUGCCUGAGUAAGAAGAACUAGCUCCUGCAUACUCGUCCUUCACUCGGCCCAGACGAUUCAUGAUUGGAAACUGAAAAAGAGGCCUAAGAUUCGAGGUGGGUUGGGGUUCUCUUUCUUGUAG
rnacentral:misc_RNA from 1 species